CUCAUCCUCCCUUUUCCUCACUCACACCCGUAAGCCCCUCCUCUCCGACGACCGAAGAACGGAGCCCCGGCGGCUCGCUCCUUGCCGGCGACGAGCACAGCACCACCCCACGGUCAACCAUCUCCACUCUCCCUCUCCUGUCUCUUCGUCGGGUGGCAAACAUGGCAGCGCCGCCGGAAGCGGAAGAGUGGCGGCAGUGGUUAUCAAGGUCUGUCGGGUUUCGCGCUCCGAUCUGAGUAUGAUCGGUCAGAUUUGAUUCGGGUCCUUCCAUGGUUCAGCAAGUUCGAGUCCGGUUCAGUCGACCACCGGCCACCUUCUGUUCUCCGACAAGCACCACAACACCCUCCCGUCGCCGCUUCGCGUGACCUCGGUGUUCCGUCCUCCUAUCUCAUCAACUCGUCAUACUUGGAUAAUCGGAAGAAAUUGCAAUAAUGUGGAUGAGGACGAUGCUAAGAAAUGAAGUAGCGUUGAUGCCUAG